rnacentral:misc_RNA from 1 species
GCGCGAAAAAGUUUCCGUGUGCGCAAGAACGAAAAAAAAACCAAAGACUUACACGCUCACGAGACCAGUACCACAGUGCGGUACCCCAGCCCCUCCAGCCCCGCACCGAUAGCGCGCCCAUGGGCAGCAGCUGAACUCUCCGAGAAGACAACCGCCCAAGCGGUGUCACAGUCGCCCCUCUUUUUUGUCUUGCGUGCGCGUCCCCCGCUCUCUACCGCCCCACCGCACCUUCCCUGUCGCGGGCGGCGUCCCCUGCGUCUUCAUCAAGCAGUUUUUCCCCUCCUCGGUGGCCCCUCUGCAGCCGCGCCUCUUCCUACAUUCCUUUAAAAAAAGCCCCCCCCCCCCCUCUCUCCCUUCCCGCGAACACGGCGGUGCCGUCGGAGCACAAAUACGUUUGCUGCCAGAUGCCAGGGCCUCUCGGUGCACAGCAAGCGCAAGGCCACCUGCUCGGUGUGCCUGGCGACUGGAGCCAGCGCUUCCGGGGCGACUUUGGCUGCGCGUAAGGCUCUGUCGUGGGCCGGGUGCGCGAACGGGCUGAACAAGGUGGCCGACUCGUGCGCUGAAAACUGUCCGGCGCUCCGCAACGUUGGCGGACCAGCGAAAAAGAUGGAGAGAAUGCUCCUCACUGUGCACAGCACACCGGGAGAUGAUGCCUGCGAGCCUUUUUUGUUGCGCGCGCGUUCCGAGUUGGCGUGACUUGCGCGUUUCGUUCAAACCUUUCGAACGCACCGCCAGCGAUCGACGGCAUCGUCGAUGUGAUGCUACUAAAUCGGAAGCCGCACCACAUCUUGCUGGCCAUGGAUGCCACGAUGGCGCCUACGGAGGUGCUGGGCGCUCUCAAGGCUAUCGUGGAGGAUAUGAAAGAUGCUAAGACGACGGUGCUGCAUGUGGGCUGUCCUGUGUGAUCGUUUUGAAUGAAGUUAGGCGACGCAGGCCCUCGUUGAGGACGCCUGUAUCCCCUUGGCGUGCUUUGUGAGCAGUUCCGCCAAGGUGUUCAGAAGUACGGCGAUAGGGGGACCACUCAUGCCCGUUUGCCAGGCGGUGGAGGAGGCAGAGGUUGGCGUGAGUUUUGCGCAGCGUUCCCUGGCUGCGGCUCCGGGGGUCGUCUUGUGCAAAAAUGGGCAGUCGAGAUCGUGCCGACACUCAGCCCUUCGUGCGCACCGUGGGGGAGGGGGGAGCAGGAGGAGGAGGAGGGUGGGUGGGGGACGGAGUUCUCUCCGCGUUGCAUGAGAUGUGCGGUGGCGGCGGUGCGUGCAAUCGCGAAGAGACGCUGCGCUCACUCGACGGCAAAGACGUUGGGAAAACCCGCCGGCGUUUCCUGCAGGGGAGGGCGACACAUUCUCGCAGAGGCACUUCUGGGAUAAGGUGCAGAUCGGCUUGACGGAGAACGGCAUCUUUGCGAUCGACCAGGGGUGUGCGCAGCCGCGCCAGAACCGGGUUGGUAUUGCCCAAGGGCGGUCUUGUGUGCGCGCAUGUGGGGCUCGGCCGGCUAAGUGCUACCCGCUGCGUUCGAGGGGCACGUGUCGGAGCCGCGGCGCCGAGUUGUUCUCAUAUGAGGCGGAUGACGCCGUUGCGAUGACGGUGCAGGGGCUCUUCUCCUUCCUGCAGCCGUGGGCCGCAUCCACACGUCCUCUUGGUGGGCAGCAAUGGCGACGUGGCGAAACGUGUAGUUCUCGCAGGUUGUAGGAGAGCUGCAUGGACAUCGCGUCAUGCAACUGGUGCGCAGUGAUGAAAAGUAUGCGGAGCGGCAACGAGGCUGCGAUUCCGGUGAUGCCAGUCCCCUCGUGUGACAGCGCCGGCUCUGCGCGAGCGUCACGUAUUAGCGAAGAAGCUGGUGUUUGUGUAGGUGACAAGGGCUUCCCGGGAGCUGCCGUGGAGCACAUGAGUGAGCUGGUACACUCCGAAAGCUCUGGUGCACAGUUGCGUCGUGCCAGUCCGCCUGCAUGUUUUUUUCUUGUAUUGAGAAAAUUGCGGUUGGCUGCGACGACGCUUCUGUGUGUGCUGGCGGUCGCGUAGCCGUACAAGGGGCCUGUCUAUGCCCGUGUGCGUGCGUCUGAUAAAAAGCAAGAUGGCGGUGGGGACGGCGUGGCACGAGUACCGGCAGAAUUCGCACGCCCCGUAUUUGGCGAUGUGCGAAGCAAAGUGGUGUUGUCUCUUGUGCUCGUGGUCACGUUGUUCUUCUCCAUCCACUUUUUUCCUUGACGGACGGAGGGGGAGGGGAGUGAAGUCCAGUGGCCUCGUCUCUUCCUUCACUGCCGUUUGUUUGCCACUGGGCUACGAGACCGUCUUUUUCAUGUUUUUUUUUUUUUAACUGCGCUACGGUCUCUGUGUGCAUUUGUGGAAGGAGGAAGGAGGGGCUUUAGAGCCACCGACACCGUCUCGAUCCUUCUGUACUCGGGCCAUGCUGAUGCGGCUGUCCUCUCUCCGCUGACCCUGGUAAUUCGUUUUGUUCCUCUUUCGCUUUUCUGAUGGAACGGCCCACGCUGGUGUCCCGACUUCCCCGUUACCUUUUCUCGCGCAGCGUAGUGAUAUGGACAAAGAGAGUGGCGAGAGACACACCGCGAUGAAACCCGUGCGCAGCUAUACGGGGAUAUUGG